rnacentral:rRNA from 1 species
AUCUAUGGCCAUGCCACCUGAACAAGCCCGAUGUCUGAUCUCAGAAACUAAGCAGGGUUGGGCUUGGUUAGUACGUGGAUGGGAGACCACCUAGGAAGACCAGGUGCUGUAGGCA